UGGGGAAUUUUUCGCGAUGGGGGCAACCCUGACGAAGCAACGCCGCGUGGAUGAUGAAGUAUCUCGGUACGUAAAAUCCUUUCGACGGGGAAGAAACCGCAAGGUUGACGGUACCUGUAGAAGAAGCCCCGGCUAACUCCGUGCCAGCAGCCGCGGUAAUACGGGGGUGGCUAGCGUUGUUCGGAAUUACUGGGCGUAAAGGGCGCGUAGGCGGUCUGCUAAGUUGGAUGUGAAAACUCUGGGCUUAACCCAGAGCCUGCAUUCAAUACUGACAGGCUAGAGUUCUGGAGGGGAUAGCGGAAUUCCUGGUGUAGCGGUGAAAUGCGUAGAUAUCAGGAGGAACACCGGUGGCGAAGGCGGCUAUCUGGACAGAGUCUGACGCUGAGGCGCGAAAGCUAGGGGAGCAAACAGGAUUAGAUACCCUGGUAGUCCUAGCCCUAAACGAUGGAUACUUGGUGUAACUGGGAUUGAAUCCAGUUGUGCCGAAGCUAACGCAUUAAGUAUCCCNCCUNAAGNGUACGGUCGCAAGGCUG
rnacentral:rRNA from 1 species